AUCCACUUCUGAAAGUGACCAGGACAGCCAUUUAAGUCAGGCAGGCACAGUGGAAGGUGCACUGUGUACCCACGUCUAAGCCACAAGGGCCCCGACUGCGUCCUUUGCUUUCAUCCUUGUUCUGCCUGCAUAGUCUUCGAACCCCAAGCUAUUGACCACCCACCCAACAAAAAGGAACCAAUUUCUUUAUCCCACUUCGCUCUGUCAGGAUCCUGAUGACUCUGUAAUGGAACACGUAUUUCUUUUCUUUUACUUAAGAAAGAGUCUGUGUUUUCAAUAUUAAAAUGUAGAUGCUCCACACCCAUGAGAGAUUCUCCAUCACUCCCUCUGCCUCUGGUCAGUGG
rnacentral:lncRNA from 1 species